rnacentral:piRNA from 1 species
UGUAGAUUGCAACGGUGAGGA